rnacentral:rRNA from 1 species
ACGGCUCAGUAACACGUAGUCAACAUGCCCAGGGGACGUGGAUAACCUCGGGAAACUGAGGAUAAACCGCGAUAGGUCAUAAUGUCUGGAAUGAUUUAUGGCUGAAAUCUACAUGGCCCCUGGAUUGGACUGCGGCCGAUCAGGCUGUUGGUGAGGUAAUGGCCCACCAAACCUAAAACCGGUACGGACUCUGAGAGGAGAAGCCCGGAGAUGGGCACUGAGACAAGGGCCCAGGCCCUAUGGGGCGCAGCAGGCGCGAAACCUUUGCAAUAAGCGAAAGCUUGACAAGGUUACUCUGAGUGAUUUCCGCUAAGGAGAUCUUUUGGCACCUCUAAAAAUGGUGCAGAAUAAGGGGUGGGCAAGCCUGGUGUCAGCCGCCGCGGUAAUACCAGCACCCCGAGUGGUCGGGACGAUUAUUGGGCCUAAAGCAUCCGUAGCCGGUUCUGCAAGUCUUCCGUUAAAUCCAUCUGCUUAACAGAUGGGCUGCAGAGGAUACUAUAGAGCUAGGAGGCGGGAGAGGCAAGCGGUACUUAGUGGGUAGGGGUAAAAUCCGUUGAUCCACUGAAGACCACCAGUGGCGAAGGCGGCUUGCCAGAACGCACUCGACGGUGAGGGGUGAAAGCUGGGGGAGCAAACCGGAUUAGAUACCCGGGUAGUCCCAGCUGUAAACGAUGCAGACUCGGUGAUGAAUAGGCUUCGUGCCUAUUCAGUGCCGCAGGGAAGCCGUUAAGUCUGCCGCCUGGGGAGUACGGUCGCAAGACUGAAACUUAAAGGAAUUGGCGGGGGAG